UCAACUCUAUAACUUGCUCUGAAGCUAGUUUGAAAUGAGUCAAGGAAGUGUGUGUCAUCCAAGACUGCCUGAAAUUGGAGGACCUUCUCAAACACCUUGCCCAAAAAAGGAAGGAAUAAACUGAUGAGAAUAGAACCCAAGGUCCAUCACUGUCCUCUCCUGACUUCAACAGGUUGAACCCUGAGGCACCUCACAAAUGACGUCUCUCCAGGAUGAAGAGGAAUCCCAUUGGUGAGCACUUUCUGAAUUUGGCCUAUCAGCCAGUUACAAAUCCACAUAACUGUAGCUUUUAAUUCACUAGCUUAUUUGUAAUAAUAUGAUGGGGGAUCUUGGCCAAAGUCAUACUGACAUCAAGAUAUACUACAUCCACAGCUCUCCCCUGAUCUACCAACUUGUCUCUCUAUCAAAAAAAUAGAAAUAAGAUUAAUUUGACAUUACAUGUUUUUAAGAAACCCAUUAUGGCUUUUAGUAAUCAUAGCAUCCCAUUCUAAAUGUUUCACAAUCUAUUCUAAAUCCUUUCUUGGUGUUGAUGCCAAGCUGAUUGGCGGGUAGUUGUCCUUUCUUUGAAGAUGAGGACAACAUUUGCUCUCCUGCAUGUACCAGAAUGUGAUUUGCAUGCAUAUUAUACUGGGAUACUCUUGGGCCAUUUACAAUUCUUCCUUUAAAAUGUCCUAUCCUUACUCAUUUAAGAAACCAAAGAGUGUAGGGAUUGUGGGCUGUAAUCUCUAUUUAUUCAGUGUUAUGCUUCUUCUAAAAAAUGUCCCUGAGUGACUUGUCCAAGAUCACACAAGAAGCCUUUGGCAGUGGACUGAAAUAAAAUUGGUAUUCUUUACAAUUUAAUCACUGUCUUUUCUUCUUAGCUUUUCACAUCCCAUUUACAGCCAUUCCGAUGAUAUAUUCCAUUUGGCUUCUAUCUCUGUCCUGAAUAUUUGGCUUCUUCAAAAGUCUGUGCUUGCUGCGAAAGGAAGAGGAAAAAAGUCUGUGGAAAGCAAAAAAGAAAAACAGAGGCAGAUAGGAGGGAAGGUUCUUGGAAGAUACUUGACAUGUAAAAAUAUUGUUGAUUCUUUCCAAAUAUCUUGUUGAAAGGCAGAAAAACAACAGGUCCAGGACUGCUUUACUGUAGGGUAAGGAAGCUGUUAUAGCUUUGACAUAUUUAGUUUCACAGGAAGGCACAGUCUUUUUCAAAUUAAUCUGUUUCAGGCUAACAGACAUCUCAUGCUGCUUAGGGCACACCAUUAAUUUUUCUAAAUGUGCAUGUUAUUUUGGACAGAGAUGGAAAGUAAUGAGGUAUAAGCACUAUAUUUAGCUUCAAGAAAGGGAAGAACUCCAGGUUCAUUGAGACUGGACAAACGUCUCAUGAUAUGGUGGAAAUUUUAUGUUUAGGUAUCAGGACUAUCUCUCACCCCCAAUAUCCAAAUACUGUACCUCAUGGCCUUUUUCCAGGAUGAAGACUGACUUUUAAUAAGCUAAGGAAGGAGACUGUUUCCUUUCUUCUGGGACUUUCUAUUGCAAACAUAGGUAAAGUUUCAUGUCUGUCCCCAAUGUCCUGGUUCCUUUUGUAUGUCCUGAGCAGUCACACUGCUAAGUUGAAUGUGUGUGUGAGCCUUCAUACAGAGGUUAUUCUCUGUCCUAUUUUUGGCUUGUCUACUCUGAUUUUAAAAAAAUCAUGCUUCAUAGCUGCCUUGGUCUUGAUAUGUGCUGUAGAAUCACAUUAGCAGUUAUUU